rnacentral:rRNA from 1 species
UAUGAAGAAUGUUCUUAUUUUGGUGUCGGUUAAGGUAGGUCGGAUGGAUCGAUCAGUACCUCUACCUAGAUGGUGGGUUUUACGAACGGAGAGAGUGGUAGUGGUAUGAUUAAUACUAGUACCGGUGGAGGCAGCGUGAACGCAGCAGCCUACGUCGCCACGAGCUUCCUGUUCGUUCUCGUGAGGAGCAGACCUUUCUAUCGUAGCUGUUGGUUUCGGUCGUCCGGGACGCGAGGACCCCUUUGUGCGGUCGCGGGACGUUAACCGCACCGUAGUGGACACCAUGGCCACACGUGGCCGUGGCCGGUCACUAGUUGCUGUAGAGAGACGCCCCCUACGCCGAUUCUCCCCGAGACCUCAGGGAGUUGAAGAGCCGGAACUCCUUGAACUGUGCGGAGCUGGAGAGUGUGUUGGAGGAACGACCCUCGUAAGGAGGAUCAUAGCUCCAGGAACCGCUCGAGGUACGAGAGGAAGACGUUCCGUUGGUCUAUUCUCCGAGUUAGGGUGAUCCAGAUCCUUUAGAGUGUUUUAACGUAAGGAAUUACGAAGUGCUUUUACUAGAAAGGCCACUUUAUGGUUCGGUUUAUCCGUUGUACUCAUCAGAACAGUGAGAGUUGAACAGUUCGUUAGUGAACCAACCAGUAUAGGGAACACUUUAUCCUGUCAUUUCGUGAAUCAACGUAAUCUAAACGGGUCAUUAUUAGAUAAGCCAUUUUAUGGUUCGUCGUAUCGUCCACCAAACUGGCUUGAGUGAUCAAACAUGGAAAUGUCAUUGUUUGAAAGACCUGUUUUAGGUGUUCUUCCAAUAGAAGAUUUGAAUUUCCUGGAUGUUGAACCGUAGUUGCGUGAGAGUCCAAGGCAGGGUGCUUUAAAUGUAUUAAACUGGUUCGAAUGACACAAUUAUGAUACCCCUUUGUUUGAAAGACCCAAUUAAGGUGUUUUUAUCUAAUUGACAGUUUAAAUAUCAUGGACUCAGAAUCACUUUUGUAUGAGAGCCCAAGGUAGGGUUUAUAAUAUCCUUUAAACUGGUUUGAGUGUUGGAACAGGGAAGCGUUGUUGGUUGAAAGACCCAAUUAAGGUUUUUUCAAUCUAACGGAAAGUUUGAAUGUCAUGGACUCAGAAUCACUUUUAUAUGAGAGCCCAAGGUAGGGUUUAUCAUAUUCUUUAAACUGGUUUGAAUGUUGGAACAGGGAAGUGUUGUUGGUUGAAAGACCCAAUUAAGGUGUUCUUAAUCUAAAGGAAUGCUUGAAUCUCAUGGACCUAGAAUCACUUUUGUAUAAGAGCCCAAGGUAGGGCUUAACGUAUCCUUUAAACUGGUUUGAGUGUUAGAAAAUGGAAAUGUCGUUGGUUGAAAGACCCGUGUAGGGAGCUCUUGAUCCAGCGGAACACUUGAAUCUCCUAAACCUCGAAUCGCUGUUGUGUGAUUGACCAAGGUAGGGUUUAUCGUAUCCUUUAAACUAAUUUGAGUGUCGUAACAUGGAACUGUCGUUGGUUGUAAGACCUGUGUAGGGAGCUCUUGAUCCAAUGGAACCCUUGAAUCUCCUCAACUUAGAAUCGUUGUCGUGUGAUUCUCGUUCAUGUUAUCUCGACUCAGUCGCCCGACAUUGCUUAUUUGAUCAUAUAAAGACGAAUCAACCUCCUUUCUCUUCUCCUAUCUCUUCCAUUCGCCCGAGAAGCACUUCUCGGUCGAGAUCGUGCACGAGAAUCCGUGAAACACUCUUACUUUCCACCCGGUAUAUUAUUUUUUCAUUAUGUGAGAAAACUAGAUAAUAACAUGUACAACUGAUAUUCUAUCCGACAUCUACUGUACUGUGACCGAAUAUCCGUCGUCGACUGAUAUGAUAAUUGGUACGAGAUUAUCCAAGGUAGGGUUUAUCGUAUCCUUUAAACUGGUUUCAGUGAUAGAAUUUAGAAAAGUACUUGCUUUAAAGACCUGUGCAGGGAGCUCUUGAUCCAGCGGAACACUUGAAUACCCUAAACUAGAACCGGCAUUGUACGAUUGACCAAGAUAGGGUUUAUCGUAUCCUUUAAACUGUUUUGGGUGUUGGAACAUGGAAUCAUCGUUGGUUGAAAGACCUGUGUAGAUAGCUCUUGAUCCAGCGGAACUCUUGAAUCUCCUGAACUACGAAAUGUUGUUGUGUGAUUAUCCAAAGUAGGGUUCAUCGUAUGCUUUAAACUGGUUUGAGUGUUCAAACAUGGAGCUAUUAUUGGUUGAAAGACCCGUGUAGGGAGCUCUUGAUCCAAUAAAUCAGUUAAAUCUGAUGAACAUAGAAUCGAUGUUGUGUGACUGUCCAAGGUAGGGUUUUCUGGAUCCGUUAGAGUGUCUUGAGCAACCGAACAUGGAACUUUUAUUGGUUGAAAGACCAGUGUAAGGGGCCCUUAAUCCAAUAAACCAGUUGAAUCUCAGGAACAGAGAAUUUUUAUUAAGUGAUUGACCAGGGUAGGGUUUAUCGGAACCGUUAGACUGUUUUGAUAUACUUAACAUGAAACCGGUCUUGGUUGAAAGACCCGUUUAAAGUACUCUUAUCCAACCAACAACUUAAACCUCAUGGAUCUCGAAUUGUUGUUGUGUGAAUUGUGUAUAAAGUAGUGUUUGUCGGAUCUAACAGAAGGUCAUCUUAAUAGAAACACCUUUUAAAGUGUUCUUCGUCUUCCACGUGGUAGGAGUAGGUGGGGACGACGACGAGGAGAGGGAGUGCCUUGCCCUCGUUUGGGGACGCGGUCGAGGCGACGGCACCGUGUUCGUGCAGGAGUGGCACCGGGUGAGGCGGACGAGGAGAGGACGUGAGCAGGAGGAGCGUUUCUUUUUUCGGGUGUGGGAGCGGCGACCCAGUGAGCUGUGGCCGCGCGAGUGGUCGCUGAUCCGGUGGCGGCGGCACCGCGGGCGUGGCCACCGGGACCGGGAGCGGCGGAAGAAGCUGACGACGUGCUGGGGAGUGCGGACACGGUGGUUGCAGCAACGGCGCGAGAGUACGCUCCUGCGCGCGGACCCGGCAGGGCCUUCGCGGGCGGCGCAGGUUCCUGUCCCGGCUGCAGCGGUGGUUGGAGUCCUCCGAGGAUGAUCCCAGGAGGUUGGCGCGCCGGUAGUCGCCAGAGCAAGAGGUUCCACGGGCGGCACGUGCCCCGGAAGGCCCUAAGCCGCACCCGGGAGGUGCGGACCCACGUGCUGCUCGAGUUGCCAGGCCAUGACUUCGAGCCCUUGGUUCCUCCUCUGAAACUACGACUACUGUGACCACGUGAGCUACACGUUGGAGUCGCGGCGAGCCCGUGACGAAGAAGGCACGAUUACGAGGUAGCCGUAGUACGAUGACUACCUUUCCCGCAAGAAGGGCACCUAAGAGGUCAACAAUUUCUAACCCCUUGGGGGGUUUGAUUUCGAUAGCGACAACAAACGAGGGACGUGAACAGGAUUUGACCUCAGGGAUGUCAUGUACAAUUUCACUUCUUUCGAUGCCGCUUGUCACUUAAUCGCUCCUCCUCUAAGGAAGUUCAGGGGUUCCCUCCCUUGUGCACCGAAACCCUUUGCCUAUGUCCUCUCUAUUAUUAUUUGGGUAGCUUUCCUUCUAUGACUCAUAUGUUUUAAGACUGUCUCAACGAUGUAUAUAUCCGAUCUAUAACCGUAAAUGCAUACUCUAUCUUGAUUUAGUGUCUUCCAACGAGCUACCUUACGAUCUCUAGACGCCGCACGGAGGACUCUUCAAGUGUUGCCGAACGAGCUCAUAGUCGUUCGAGCUGUUUGACUGUAAGCUUCUGUACUUUUUUUUUCUUGACUGAGACGAGUCGAAUAGGGACCUAGGACGAGGACAAAGAGGGUGGUCCGAACGCAAACGUUGAGUAAAGAUCGCGCGGAAGUAUUCGGAGGACACGUUGCGAGUCAAGCUUCUAGAGAGGUGCAUCCUAGAGAAGGACUGUAUGAGGGACUUGUCGCUAAUGGGGGACUGCGACGGCCAAAUGCAGCUGACCUCUUUCGGUAGACUCAGGCCACGCUGGUAUAUAUAAGGCCGCACCCAUAAGCUGACUCUCGGUUUUUCCGGACAACAACCACCUCUUUGAACUAAUGGACGUCAGCAGGUUUGACAACGUCUUAUAAAAGAAGUCGGAAAGGUUUGGGAACUACGUGGUUCCUCCUGUGAAACUACACGAUGACGACGAGGACAUGCGCCAUCCACGUGAGCUACAAGUUGGAGCGGCGGCGAGCCCGUGACGAGGACACGAUGACUGCCUUUACUGUGGUUCAACGAAGUAGCGCACCUAAGAGCGACUAGUCUAGGUUAACAUUUCGAUCGUGUCAAAAAAAAAAGGUUGGACUUCCACCGUAGGUCUCUUUUGAUGAAAGUCUUGUUGACUAGUAAAGAGAGCAAAAAUCUAUGAUCGAAUUAGCUCAAGUCGGAAGUUGUACUACAUAAACUUAUGUUGUGAAAGAUAGUUUCUAAAGUCUGUCCAAGUCCACUCAUCAGUAUAGUGAACGUCUCUACACUUAAAGUCCCUUCAAGGUGAAGACUUAGACUCGUUUUUUAUUAUCAAAG